CAGUGGGGAAUUUUCCGCAAUGGGCGAAAGCCUGACGGAGCAAUACCGCGUGAGGGAGGAAGGCUCUUGGGUUGUAAACCUCUUUUCUCAAGGAAGAAGCAAUGACGGUACUUGAGGAAUCAGCAUCGGCUAACUCCGUGCCAGCAGCCGCGGUAAUACGGAGGAUGCAAGCGUUAUCCGGAAUGAUUGGGCGUAAAGCGUCCGCAGGUGGCAAUGCAAGUCUGCUGUCAAAGGCUGGGGCUUAACUCCAGACAGGCAGUGGAAACUGCAUCAGCUAGAGUGCGGUAGGGGCAGAGGGAAUUCCCGGUGUAGCGGUGAAAUGCGUAGAGAUCGGGAAGAACACCAGUGGCGAAAGCGCUCUGCUGGACCUGCACUGACACUCAGGGACGAAAGCUAGGGGAGCGAAUGGGAUUAGAUACCCCAGUAGUC
rnacentral:rRNA from 1 species